rnacentral:rRNA from 1 species
GAUCUCAAAUCAGAUAGGAUUACCCGCUGAACUUAAGCAUAUCAAUAAGCGGAG